rnacentral:rRNA from 1 species
CAGCCGCCACGGUAAUACGUAGGUGGCAAGCGUUGUCCGGAUUUAUUGGGCGUAAAGCGAGCGCAGGCGGUCAAUUAAGUCUGUUGUGAAAGCCCCGGGCUCAACCUGGGAAUGGCAAUGGAUACUGGCGAGCUAGAGUGUGUCAGAGGAUGGUGGAAUUCCCGGUGUAGCGGCGAAAUGCGUAGAGAUCGGGAGGAACAUCAGUGGCGAAGGCGGCCAUCUGGGACAACACUGACGCUGAGGCACGAAAGCGUGGGGAGCAAACAGGAUUAGAUACCCCGGUAGUCCCUGUCUCUUAUAC